UGGGUUUGAACUGGUUUGAUUGGAACUGCAGUAUUGUCGGAUAAGAGGAAGAGAACAACGUACGACGCGGGAUUAUAUGAUUUUGUUCAAGAAGAGGAUGAGGGCUUCUCUGAUUUUCUGCAAGAAAUGAUGUCUCUAAUGGCUGAGGUUAGGAGAGAGGACAAGAUUUACACAAUGGAAGAAUUGCAGAGCAUGUUAAUGGAAAUGGCCAAAGGUUUUGAGUAUCCAUCGGAGCGGUCUUAUUCCCCUCAGUGCCAGUGGCCUUCUUCAUACGAGUCUUUCCAAUGGGGUUGUGCGCCGUUGAAGUUUGAUGACUCUGGAAGUAGUUCAAAGAAAGCUCGAUGUGAUGCAAAUCCAGCAGUGGCUGCAACCAGAACCAGCUCACAUUUACAAAUGUCGGGUUUUGGGAUGUACGGGACAAACUAUUUUUGUAAUUAAUCAGUCAGUACAGUACCCUGUCCAUCUGUCAAUGUAAAGGAUUGAUCAUCCAUCAUGCUAUGGCAUAGGGUGUCACCAGAACAGAAGAACAGUUUUCCUUGUUCUUUCUGGAUUUAGAUGGUAAAUGUUCAGUUGAGAUGGUUACACCCAUUGUGGAAAUUUGUCAGCAUUUUGGGCUUUUGUGAGUGGUGGCUGUGAUGAAUUAUUGUAAAUCUGAUUAUGGAAUUUUUAUUACGGGCUAUUGAAAUUUGGAUCAUGCGAAUAAUUGGCAAUCUUUUCAAAGGUGAAAAGAAGGUUCAUUACA